rfam:Ovis aries breed Texel chromosome 3, whole genome shotgun sequence.
UCCCUGGUGGCUCAGAGGUUUAAAGCGUCUGCCUCAAAUGUGGGAGACCCAGGUUCGAUCCCUGGGUCGGGAA